UUUAUUUACCUAUUGACUGAACUGGAAGAAAAGGUACAGAAAAGAAAAAGCAUGCUACCGGUGCCACUCAUUUUAAACAUGCUUGCAGCCACACUAACAUUUUUCGCUGAAGGCAGCUGCCAAAAGGUUGUAGGCAAUGGGUGCGUUCACGUACGCAUAGAUACCCUUUCCAAGAUACCUAAGUAUCCGAUACGUUUGUGAACACGAAUCAGCUGUUCAUCAAAUCUCCCAUAAGAUACACGAGAAUCCAGAAAUUUUUAGGAUACCUUUGGAUUUUUUUGCUUGUCAACACAUGUUUACAAUCAGCUGAGAUUUUAUUUGGGAUUACAACAACACAAAGGUAUCCGGAUACCCUUAGAUCGGCAUGUGAACGUACCCAAUGGGUGCGUUCACGUACGCACAGAUACUAUAUCCAAGAUGCCUAAGUAUCCGAUACGUUUGUGAACACGAAUCAGCUGUUAUUCAAAUCUCCCAUAAGAUACACGAGAAUCCAGAAAUUUUUAGGAUACGUUUGGAUUUUUUUGCUUGUCAACAUAUGUUUACGAUCAGCUGAGAUAUUAUAUGGGAUUACAACAACACAAAGUUAUAAAGAUACCCUUGGAUCGGUACGUGAACGCACCCAAUGAUUUUAAUUUGGGAAUUGCACAACCAACAAUCAGCCUCUUUUCUGCUGGAAAUUAUGGAAGAACACCUUUGCCCUUGUUAGAUCAAUUCUCAUUAUUCGGAGGAAGAAAAAAGAUAUGCUAAGGCGUUUUUUUAUGAAAAGGCUGGGAUUCCGGGAAUAUUUGGAUGUGUGGAUGGCAGCCACAUAAAAAUUCAAGCACCAAAAAAAUAUGAGCAACAUCGUUACUACAACAGGAAAGGCUUUUUUAGCUCGAAAACUAUGUUUGUUUGUGAUCACAAAAUUCAUUUAUUUGGAAUUCGAGUGAGCUUCAGGGGAUCCUUCAAAGGAAUUUCGAAAAUGGAGAGAGAAAUACUUGGUUACUAGGUGAUGUCGGCUAUCCGCUGGAACCCUUUCUAAUCACCCCAUUCAGAUCCCCUCAAGAAGAAAGCAGUCUGCAAAAUGAGACACUCAAAAUUCAGGAAUAUAACUGAAAGAACGAUUGGUGUUAUUAAGAACCGCUUCAGAUGACUGCUCGGUGCUAGACCAUUGCACUAUACCCCUCAAAAAUCCAUUAAAAUUAUAAAUGUGUGUUCGGCUCUUCACCAUAUUUGUAUUCAUUACAAAACAUCAGAGCCAAAAAUAAACCAAAAUCCCAUCAUCUAUAUGAGCUUGAGCAUAUAUCAUCGGAUUCUGAUAGAAACAAUAAGGGUAUUAACGUAACGAGAUAAAUUUCUACUUUGCAGAAAAACAGAAAAUUCCGCAAAAGGUUUAAAUGAACACCCCAGCAGAAAAUAACUGCGUAAACAAGGAAAACAAACAGCUGCUGUUUCAAAUUGAACUUAUAAAAUUUGUUUACCUAAUUACAAAAAUUAUGUCAAGCUAAUUUUGCAAAUACUAUGCAACAAUAAAAAAAUGUAA